rnacentral:rRNA from 1 species
GAUAAACGCUGGCGGCGUGCCUAAUACAUGCAAGUCGAACGAGGGGUUCUUGUAGCAAUACGGGGACUCCUAGUGGCGAAUGGGUGAGUAACGCGUUGGUGACCUGCCCCAAAGAGAGGAAUAACUCCGGGAAACUGGAGCUAAUACCUCAUGUGGUUAUAAGGGUUAAAGGCCUUAUAACUAAAGGAGCAAUCCACUUUGGGAGGGGCCUGCGUCCCAUCAGCUAGUUGGUAGGGUAAUGGCCUACCAAGGCUUCGACGGGUAGGGGGCCUGAGAGGGUGGCCCCCCACACUGGCACUGAAACACGGGCCAGACACCUACGGGUGGCAG